UCGAGGGGUAGCAUAACUUAGCUUGCUAAGUUGAUGGCGACCGGCGCACGGGUGAGUAACACGUAUCCACCUGCCGAUGACUCGGGGAUAGCCUUUCGAAAGAAAGAUUAAUACCCGAUGGCUCCGCAUGGUUAAAGAAUUUCGGUCAUCGAUGGGGAUGCGUUCCAUUAGGUUGUUGGCGGGGUAACGGCCCACCAAGCCUUCGAUGGAUAGGGGUUCUGAGAGGAAGGUCCCCCACAUUGGAACUGAGACACGGUCCAAACUCUACGGGAGGCAGCAGUGAGGAAUAUUGGUCAAUGGACGAGAGUCUGAACCAGCCAAGUAGCGUGAAGGAUGACUGCCUAUGGGUUGUAAACUUCUUUUAUACGGGAAUAAGUGAGGCACGUGUGCCUUUUUGUAUGUACCGUAUGAAUAAGGAUCGGCUAACUCCGUGCCAGCAGCCGCGGUAAUACGGAGGAUCCGAGCGUUAUCCGGAUUUAUUGGGUUUAAAGGGAGCGUAGGCGGACGCUUAAGUCAGUUGUGAAAGUUUGCGGCUCAACCGUAAAAUUGCAGUUGAUACUGGGUGUCUUGAGUACAGUAGAGGCAGGCGGAAUUCGUGGUGUAGCGGUGAAAUGCUUAGAUAUCACGAAGAACUCCGAUUGCGAAGGCAGCUUGCUGGACUGUAACUGACGCUGAUGCUCGAAAGUGUGGGUAUCAAACAGGAUUAGAUACCCUGGUA
rnacentral:rRNA from 1 species